rnacentral:lncRNA from 1 species
ACUAGAGGACGCCCGUUCCAAUGGCAACUCUGCCAAGGCGCCUAUGAGAGCCUCUUGGCUUUUACCUGGUCUGCGAGAAAUCAAACUUUGGGCACAAGUCAUGAAGCCGACAAGCCCGGGAGACACAGUGUCAGAAUUACAAGGUGAGAUCAGCCGCCCGGCCAAGCUAUCUUCUCGCUAGCAGGUCUCGCAUCUGGGGCUCGAUCUCGUGCAGAGGAGCAUUUCCGAAGACACUGGCCGCUCCCACAAUGGCUCCGAAGAACCCAGCGACCAGCGGGUUCAUGAGUUUGUUGGGGCUGUCCACUCGGUACCAGCUGCGCAGGGAUGUCAGGACAAAGAAACAAGUUGCCUGGUUCCAGCCCUGCUUCAGCACGGGGCCUGUGGGGCCCCGGUAAGUCCCGGUGUUCCCGCACAAUCUCCUAACCCUGUGGAAGAAUCCCCUGUACUUGGAUUUGGAGAGGUCUGGCCAUGGAUUAACUUCACCUUGAUGGUCUCCAUGGGACAUAGGACCACCACGGCCUCGGCCACGCUAGCUCACUGGCCGCACCGCUGCCCGCCUUGCUGUUCACCAGUCCCUGGGCAUCCCGCAUCUGGUUGCUGAGGAACGCCUGACGCCGCCUUGUGGAUGAAGCCGCAGAGCAGGGAGCUGAGGCUGCGGCCCAGGCCCAGGCUGCCUUGGCUGCGACUGUGUGCCUGCAGGCCCCAUGCCCGGUAUCCGGUGGAUGCGAGUGCUAGUCCAGCUGCAGCUGCAUCUUCACGAACUCGGUGGGGAACGGGAUGCAGAUUUUUUUUUUCUUUUCCUUCCUUCCUUCCUUCCUUCCAACUUCCUUCCUUCCUUCCCCUUUCUUUCUUUCUUUUUUUUUUUUUUUUUUUUUUGACAGAAUUUUGCUCUUGUCCCCCAGGCUGGAGUGCAGUGGCGCGAUCUUGGCUCACUACAACCUGGAUUCAAGCGAUUCUCCUGCCUCAGCCUCCCGAGUAGCUGGGAUUACAGGCAUGUGCCACCAUUCCCGGCUAAUUUUUUUGUCUUUUUAGUAGAGACGGUGUUUCCCCAUGUUGGUCAGGCUGGUCUCAAACGCCUGACUCAGAUGAUCCGCCCGCCUCGGCCACCCAAAGUGCUGAGAUUACAGGCUUGAACCACCGCGCCUGGCCCUGUGAUGUAGAUUUUGAUGCUGCCAGCCAGGCUGCCUGCCGGGAUCGCCUGCCCUGGAGCAGGAGCAUCAGCCGUGCGUUCCAGGACGCAGGCAUGGCAUGACCGGCAGGAGGCGGAGUGCCCGGCGUCUCUUGGGAUCGGAGCCUCCUGAAUUCCACGCUGGGACCUUAAUUUGGUUUUAACACAAAUAAAGAUCUCACAUAAAGAUAAAA